rnacentral:rRNA from 1 species
CCUACGGGAGACAGCAGUAGGGAAUCUUUCACAAUGGGCGAAAGCCUGAUGGAGCAACGCAGCGUGCAGGAUGAAGGCCUUCGGGUUGUAAACUGCUUUUAUAAGCGAGAAAUAUGAUGGUAACUUAUGAAUAAGGAUCGGCUAACUACGUGCCUGCAGCCGCGGUCAUACGUAGGAUCCGAGCAUUAUCCGGAGUGACUGGGUGUAAAGAGUUGCGUAGGUGGCAUAAUAAGUAGCUAGUGAAAUCUGGUGGCUCAACCAUUCAGACUAUUAGCUAAACUGUUAAGCUCGAGACCGUUAGGGGUAACUGGAAUUUCUAGUGUAGGGGUGAAAUCCGUAGAUAUUAGAAGGAACACCAAUAGCGUAGGCAGGUUGCUGGGACGGUUCUGACACUAAGGCACGAAAGCGUAGGGAGCAAACGGGAUUAGAUACCCGGGUAGUC